CUACAAUGUAAGGAUGUGCUUGGCAUGAGUGGAGUCCAACCUCAGCUAUGAUUUUUAUUACAUCUGUCACCCUAGACAAGCUGCUGCUGCUGCUGCUGCAUCUCUCACCCUAGACAAGCUACUUAACCUCAUUGAGUCCUUGGCUCCUCAUCCAUGAGAUGUUGAAGUCAUGUGACCUAAUAGCAUGGCUGUGAUAGUUAAAUAAGUUCACUGAACCUUGUAGCUACUCAAUGUGAUUUUUAAUCUUUUUUUCCAGAAAUGGCCAAUUAUUCUAAUUCUUCCAGGGCAGCCUUCUUUCCUCAUUCCCAUAGUUCACAAUUUCAGCAUCACAAUUAGAGAAGAGAAUUUGGGAUAAAAAUGACUAAAACCGGCUUCUUUUCUCAGGGGCACGGUCUGACUCAGCUCAGGGCAAGAUGAUGAGUGGAGUCGGGGGCUUCGUGCUGGGUCUGCUCUUCCUUGCGGUGGGGCUCUUCAUCUACUUCAGGAAUCAGAAAGGUAAGGAGCCUUUGGGCAGCUGAGCCUCCCCACUGACUUUUGGAGGAAGACAUAUGGUUUUGCUCAAGUUAGUUCUCUGUAUAUCAAUGGCCUUGUCUAAAGCUUAUUUUCCUAACUGACUUUAAUAUCCUGGAGAUCCAGAA
rnacentral:lncRNA from 1 species